rnacentral:rRNA from 1 species
GCUUGUCUCAAAGAUUAAGCCAUGCAUGUCUAAGUAUAAACGACUUUAUACAGUGAAACUGCGAAUGGCUCAUUAAAUCAGUUAUAGUUUAUUUGAUAAUACCUUACUACUUGGAUAACCGUGGUAAUUCUAGAGCUAAUACAUGCUGUUAAGCCUGACUUACGAAGGGCUGUAUUUAUUAGAUAACAGACCAAUAUUCCCUCGUGUCUAUUGUGGUGAAUCAUAGUAACUGAUCGGAUCGCAUGGGCGUGCCCGCGACAAACCAUUCAAGUUUCUGCCCCAUCAGCUUUCGAUGGUAGUGUAUUGGACUACCAUGGCUUUUACGGGUAACGGAGGAUUAGGGUUCGAUUCCGGAGAGGGAGCCUGAGAAACGGCUACCACAUCUAAGGAAGGCAGCAGG